GAUGAACGCUGGCGGCGUGCUUAACACAUGCAAGUCGAACGGUGAAGGCGGAGCUUGCUCUGCUGGAUCAGUGGCGAACGGGUGAGUAACACGUGAGCAAUCUGCCCCUGACUCUGGGAUAAGCGCUGGAAACGGCGUCUAAUACUGGAUACGAGCUGCGAAGGCAUCUUCAGCAGCUGGAAAGAAUUUCGGUCAGGGAUGAGCUCGCGGCCUAUCAGCUUGUUGGUGAGGUAAUGGCUCACCAAGGCGUCGACGGGUAGCCGGCCUGAGAGGGUGACCGGCCACACUGGGACUGAGACACGGCCCAGACUCCUACGGGAGGCAGCAGUGGGGAAUAUUGCACAAUGGGCGAAAGCCUGAUGCAGCAACGCCGCGUGGGGGACGACGGCCUUCGGGUUGUAAACCUCUUUUAGCAGGGAAGAAGCGAAAGUGACGGUACCUGCAGAAAAAGCGCCGGCUAACUACGUG
rnacentral:rRNA from 1 species